rnacentral:rRNA from 1 species
UAUCAGAAGUGCGAAUGCUGACAUGAGUAACGAUAAGGGAGGUGAAAACCCUCCCCGCCGGAAGACCAAGGGUUCCUGUCCAACGCUAUUCGAGGCAGGGUGAGUCGGCCCCUAAGGAGAGGCUGAAGAGCGUAUCCGAUGGGAAACUGGUUAAUAUUCCAGUACUGCUCAUAACUGCGAUGGGGUGACGGAGAAGGCUAGACUAGCGCGGCGUUGGUUGUCCGCGUUUAAGGUAGUAGGCUAAGGACUUAGGUAAAUCCGGGUCCUUGUUAGGCUGAGAACCGAUGACGAGUUCCUAUAUGGAAUGAAGUAGUUGAUGCCAUGCUUCCAGGAAAAACCUCUAAGCUUCAGGUUAUGACUAACCGUACCCCAAACCGACACAGGUGGUCAGGUAGAGAAUACUAAGGCGUAUGAGAAAACUCGGGUGAAGGAACUAGGCAAAAUGGCACCGUAACUUCGGGAGAAGGUGCGCCGGUUUUGGUGAUGGGACUUGCUCCCUAAGCUGAGGCCGGUCGAAGAUACCAGGUGGCUGCGACUGUUUAUUAAAAACAUAGCACUCUGCAAACUCGAAAGAGGACGUAUAGGGUGUGACGCCUGCCCGGUGCCGGAAGGUUAAUUGAUGGGGUUAGCUUCGGCGAAGCUCUUGAUCGAAGCCCCGGUAAACGGCGGCCGUAACUAUAACGGUCCUAAGGUAGCGAAAUUCCUUGUCGGGUAAGUUCCGACCUGCACGAAUGGCGUAACGAUGGCCACACUGUCUCCACCCGAGACUCAGUGAAAUUGAAUUAGCGGUUAAGAUGCCGUUUACCCGCGGCUAGACGGAAAGACCCCGUGAACCUUUACUACAGCUUCACAGUGGACUUUGAUAUUACUUGUGUAGGAUAGCUGGGAGGCUUUGAAACUUUGUCGCUAGAUAGAGUGGAGCCAAUCUUGAAAUACCAGCCUGGUAAUAUUGAGGUUCUAACCUAGGUCCCUAAGCGGGAUCAGGGACAUUGUGUGGUGGGUAGUUUGACUGGGGCGGUCUCCUCCCAAAGAGUAACGGAGGAGCACGAAGGUACCCUCAGCAUGGUCGGAAAUCAUGCAAUGAGCGCAAGAGUAGAAGGGUGCUUGACUGCGAGAUAGACACAUCGAGCAGGUACGAAAGUAGGUUCUAGUGAUCCGGUGGUUCUGUAUGGAAGGGCCAUCGCUCAACGGAUAAAAGGUACU